rnacentral:rRNA from 1 species
GACGAACGCUGGCGGCGUGCCUAAUACAUGCAAGUCGAACGCAGUGGGGACGGGUGAGUAACACGUGGGUAACCUCACAUCAGUGGGGAUAACACUUGGAAACAGAUGAUAACACGAUACCGCUGGAUGGACCCGCGGUGCAUAAGCUAGUUGGUGGGGUAACGGCUCACCAGGGCCACGAUUCAUCGCCGACCUGAGGGGGUGAUCGGCCGCGCUGGGACUGAGACACGGCCCAGACUCCUACGAGGUGCAGAGGUAGGAAUGCUGCAGCAAGGGACGAAAGUCUGACAGAGCAACGCUGCGUGAGUGAAGAAGGGUUGCGGAUCGUAAAACUCGGGUGGUAGAGAAGCGGGAUCAAACCAGAAAGCCACGGCUAACAACGUGCCAGCAGCGGCGGUAAAA